CCUACGGGAGGCAGCAGUGGGGAAUAUUGGACAAUGGGGGGAACCCUGAUCCAGCCAUGCCGCGUGUGUGAAGAAGGCCCUCGGGUUGUAAAGCACUUUCAGUGAGGAAGAACGCCUGGUGGUUAAUACCCAUCAGGAAAGACAUCACUCACAGAAGAAGCACCGGCUAACUCCGUGCCAGCAGCCGCGGUAAUACGGAGGGUGCGAGCGUUAAUCGGAAUUACUGGGCGUAAAGCGCGCGUAGGUGGCUUGAUAAGCCGGUUGUGAAAGCCCCGGGCUCAACCUGGGAACGGCAUCCGGAACUGUCAAGCUAGAGUGCAGGAGAGGAAGGUAGAAUUCCCGGUGUAGCGGUGAAAUGCGUAGAGAUCGGGAGGAAUACCAGUGGCGAAGGCGGCCUUCUGGACUGACACAGACACUGAGGUGCGAAAGCGUGGGUAGCAAACAGGAUUAGAUACCCUUGUAGUC
rnacentral:rRNA from 1 species